GGCGCGCCUAAUCCAUGCAAGUCGAACGAGAAUGUGUAGCAAUACACAUGUACAGUGGCGAACGGGUGAGGUCUACAUGGGUAACCUACCCUCGAGUGGGGGAUAACCAGCCGAAAGGUUGGCUAAUACCGCGUACGCUUCCGGGACUGCGGUUUCGGAAGGAAAGCGAUACCGUGGGUAUCGCGCUCUUGGAUGGGCUCAUGCCCUAUCAGCUUGUUGGUGAUGUUCCGGCUCACCAAGGCUUCGACGGGUAGCUGGUCUGAGAGGACGAUCAGCCACACUGGCACUGCGACACGGGCCAGACUCCUACGGGAGGCAGCAGUAAGGAAUAUUGCGCAAUGGGCGAAAGCCUGACGCAGCGACGCCGCGUGGGGGAUGAAGGUCUUCGGAUUGUAAACCCUUUCGGGAGGGAAGAUGGAACGGGUAACCGUUCGGACGGUACCUCCAGAAGCAGCCACGGCUAACUUCGUGCCAGCAGCCGCGGUAAUACGAAGGUGGCAAGCGUUGUUCGGAUUCACUGGGCGUACAGGGAGCGUAGGCGGUUGGGUAAGCCCUCCGUGAAAUCUCCGGGCCUAACCCGGAAAGUGCAGAGGGGACUGCUCGGCUUGAGGAUGGGAGAGGAGCGCGGAAUUCCCGGUGUAGCGGUGAAAUGCGUAGAGAUCGGGAGGAAGGCCGGUGGCGAAGGCGGCGCUCUGGAACAUUUCUGACGCUGAGGCUCGAAAGCGUGGGGAGCAAACAGGAUUAGAUAC
rnacentral:rRNA from 1 species